ensembl:lncRNA
CUCCCGCCUGCCCCCGUCCCGCCGUCGGGGCGGCCCCGCGCCCGGCUGCUUUGCAUAUGCAAAUGAGGCACGGGGGAGGGAGGCCACGUGCUGUUCCCCCCGUCGGUCCCCUCGGGCCGGGCCGCAGAUCCCACUGCCUCCUGUCACGGAGCUUGUUCCUUUGUGCCGCCUUUCGAGGAAUCAAAGCAGACACGGUUGUGACACGUAGCCCGGCGGGUCAGAGUCUUCAGCAUCAGCCCCACAGUGCAUCUUUGCUGCCUUUUUGCCAUCUCACACGUUCCUGUCUAAAGCACAUCGACGUACCUAGGCUGGGGGGCUUGCAAUGUUACCAAAAGGGACGUUGCAGGAGGAAAGUUUAAAACCAUGGGGCCCAAUCCUGAACUCAAUCAGAGCUGUUGCUUCGGUGGGAGCAGCCCUUGUGCUGCAUGCACAGGAGCUCCGAAGUUAAAAGGCGGCUGUUCAAAAGGCUGCUUUGUUUCUUGCUUGUACCGUGAGUUUCUCAUGUAAAGUUCUAUAUAUUCCUCCACAAUAAAUACAUGAAACAGUUAAUCCAAUGUUAUAUUGUUUGGUAAUAUUUUACUUGCAAAUGACCGUCGUUUCUUCCCUGCUCUGUUUGUUCUUCUGAAUGUCUGUUUUACAUUCUGGAAAUGGAAGAGCCAUUCUUUUAGUGCCCGUUGCUUUCUGAUGAUAAUCGCUAUCUCUGUGCCUCGCAGCCGGUCUAUACUUUCGAUCAGUAAAUAUUGAACCACGAUGGCGAGGAAGGGCUGAGCUAUGAUACGGCCAAAACAAGCAAAUAAAAACGGGCCCACUUUCCUUUUUCGUUGUUACAUUUCUAUUAUUUUCUGGAUGUUCCUUCCUUACGGGCUAUGUCCUCCCAUAGGCAGGACAGGGGCACGGUGGCUGUCCCCAUGGAUGGCAAUGCAGGGACAAGGGUUGGUGGCUGUACCGUGUUUGGGGCUGUAGGGGAGCCAGGACACAGUGCUGGGGCUUGGUGCUGUGGUAAAUCCCUUUCUGCUGAUGCCCAGUUGCAGCGACAACCAUUGGGCCAAACCCCCAGCCUUCGCCCAGGCAAAACACCGUUGACUUGAAUGGGUGUUUGUAGGGAGAUUUGGGGGAAGUCGAUGUGGACUUUUGUCUGUGUGAGGACUGAAGGAUUUGGUCUACAGUCUUUUACAGUAGGAGGUUCAUCAACAUGCGGGAAAUUCCCACACCCCGUACAGGGCCCCUUUGUACCUCUGUUAGGCAGAAACUCCUGAUAAAUCGCUGCGUCCUCUGCUCAAAGCUGGGGGUGGGAGAGGAACUGAAGAAACUCCGCAUCGGCUAACAGCCUCUUCCCAGGAAAAACUCUCACAAAGCACAACCUGGGUUGCCCAGCAGAUCCAGGCAGCAGAAGGGGCCGUGUCCAUCCACGUGCUGGAGCCCACUGGCAUCGUACUCUGAGGUCACCAAAAUUAUACGAUCCCUUUAAAGCUGCUCUGUGCAACCUGAGGGACACUCAGUUAUGCAGGGCACUUGCUUGAGAGCGUCAAUUAGGAUCUCUUUGGGCACAAUCGUUUUUUAGAGAUCCGCUUGACAUCAGUGCCCUGUUGGAGUUUGUUGGAGAGUCUGCUGCUGUCCAGGUGUCAGAAUGAAGCAUUUGUUUUUGAGAUGCCCUAUAAACCCGUCAGUGCAGGGCAGCCAGCUGGGUGCCUGGCCGUGGUUGGCCACGUUGGGAAGGGUCCAAAUGUUGCAGAGAGCUGCAGUGCUCACCGCACGGUAUCAGAAAUGCAAUCAUUCGGCAGCAGGAUGUAUUGAUAGAGACACCACCUUAUAAAUAAUCCAUUCCUACUCUGGUGGUGGGAGAUGCUGGAAGUAAUAUUCUCUACCUUGGAAAGGUGUCAUUCAAGAACUGGUUGGGGAUUCGAUGCCAGCCUGGUGUCACAGCUACGAGAGGCAAUAACCAGUCCAAAUAGAGCAUUAACCCUCAGCCUUAUCGCUCACGGACCCAUUAUGCCUUCCUAUAAUUUACCAAUAAAUAUCCAGAUGAACUAAACAGUACAGAAAAUGUAAAGGUGGUAAACAUGCUCUCUGCUGAAUUAUUCUGUGCUAGGAAAGUGGCUGGUGGCAGAACUGAAUUAUUUAAUGUUAUUUUCCUGUAUCACGUAGGCGAAGUAUAAGCUUCAUUUUUGGAUUAUGAUUUGUAUUAUGAAAUGCUUAUCAAGUGUUUUCCAAAGAUUAGUUUAGUUUUAAUUAAAUAAACCUUUCUCAGGAGAAAGCUCCCAACUACUCUUCGUACCCAGAGGCGACCGUACUUGUUGUUUUUAAUUAUUUUUCACUGUUACCCAAACUGCUUUGGGUACUCCUGCCCAAUUAAAUCAAAGACACGGGCUUCUUAUACACAAUAUGUUUAAUAUUUAAUUUUAAUCAAAUUAAUUAAAUUGUUUAUUUAAUUUUAUGUGCAUUAUUGUGCGUGGAGCAAUGCAAAAUUUAUGAUAGGAAGAAUUUGUGGGAGCUUUCAAACAAGCUAAUUACCGAGGUAAAAAGAGACUUCUGCUGUCUGCCCAGGGAGAAGGCAUUCGACCGUAAGGAAAUAACCAAACAGACGUUGUUUGGAUGAAACAAGAGGUGGUUGCGCAGCAUUAAGAACUAUUUGUUUUACCGUAUUUUGUCUUGUAACCAUCACUUGAUUGUCUGUAACAGAUCUGACAACAGUCUGCUUCUACCACCGGUGCAGGCAGGUGCCCAGGUGUUUAGCAGGGCCAGUAAACCUAAUGCUGCAAUACAAAUGGAUGAGGAAUAUUGAAAUCCAGCAGCUCGUGUGCCACAGAUGUACGUUGUUGGUCACACCCGGAGCCUUUUUCCUCCCACUGCAUCCAUUUAUCCCACAGGUAAUCUUUAUGAGAGCUGCUGCUGUUCACUGAAAAGAGCAGAGAACAGUCAACAGGCUUCAUUCUUAUUUCAAACUAAGUGUGGUUUUGGGUGGAUUAUGUGUUGCGGUAGAUAUUUUUUGAAGGAGGUAAUCUUUUUCACCCAAAGUGGGAGGCACGAUUUUCUCACCUGGCAGUCCGUUGUUCCAGGGAGUUCAAUUGCAUCACCUCCAUUCUCACUAUUUCUGGAGGAAGUUAAUAGCCAAGAAAAAGCAGAAUUAUUUUUUAUGAUUUGCCUGACGUUAGCCUGCAGUCUGUGCAGGAACACAGCCCCAGAGCCGCUGUACCCAGUAGGGCUGUGCUGUAGGCAAUGAUGGGUUUGGAACAGGUCCUUGGGGUUGAUUUCUUCACCCCAGAGGAGGCAAAAGCCAAUGCUGCACCCGGCUGUACUCAUGGGAAAAGCACGGGGAAAUGUUUUGGCUCUGCUGGGCUUUGUUUUGGCAUUCCUGGGAGUUGUUUUUCCACGGAAAGGCAAAAGGAGCUAGGAGGAUUCCCAACCAGUGUGAAGCAGUGAUGGGCACUGUCCCUUUUCCCUCUGCAAGGGUUAAAAACGACUUCACAGUAAAACAUAACUUCUCUGAGCAUUGUGACAAUUAAAACAAAUGUAAAUAAAUGCAUUUGUGGGAAUAAUUUGUAGAAUAAUUAACAGCUCCUGGGCCCAAGAGCAGAAUGGCUAAAAACAAUCUUCCUUGAACGUCAGAGACAUUCAUAGAGCAAUAGUUUUAUUUCAGCAGAUUAAAUAGUAUCAUAAAAGUAGCUGAUGAUGCAGUAAAUUAAAAAUCAGACUGGGGCCGAUUUUACAGCAGCUUUUUUUUUUGGUCUAAUACAAUUACCCAUUUCUGGCUAAACAUUAGUUUUAAAUCAACAGCGUUUGUCACAAAGAAUUUUCCCUUGAAACUGUGAGAAGAAUUUGAAACAAGAGCAAUAUUACCAGAUACAGAAAUCCUGGAGAGAUCUUAAUACUGAGGGAGCACACGCUGGAAUGGCUCCUUGGUAUGCAAUGCUUUCCCUACUGCUGUGCCUGCAUGGGCAGAGCAUUCCCUGCACACCAUACCUCAAGUACCUGCAGACCCUGCCAGGCACAUCCUCUCCAGUUCGUAGAGAUACUCCAUCAGCUCAGCUUGUUUAUACC